CAGGCGCGCGGGGAGGGACGCUCGAUGUGCGCAUGCGUCGCGCAGGAAAGGUUGCGUCGCGCAGGAAAGGUUCCGACGCGCUCAGUGGGCGCCUGAGUGUGCGCGCGGGAAGAUGGCUGAGCAGGUGCCGAAGUCUGUGCUGUUCGUGUGUCUGGGUAACAUCUGUCGGUCACCCAUUGCAGAAGCAGUUUUCAGAAAACUUGUAACAGAUCAAAAGCUUUCAGAUCAUUGGAGGAUAGACAGUGCAGCGACAUCCACGUAUGAAAUAGGAAACCCCCCUGAUUAUCGAGGGCAGAGCUGCAUGAAGAAGCAUGGUGUCCCUAUGAGUCACACUGCCCGGCAGGUACUGUGCUGGGACUUGAAGGCGUAUAUAUGUGUUCUGUGUUGCAGUGGGUCACUGACAGCGGCGCUGUGUCUGACUGGAACGUGGGCCGGUCACCAGAUCCAAGAGCUCUGAGCUGCCUCAGAAAUCAUGGCAUUAACACAGCCCAUAAAGCAAGACAGGUUACCAAGGAGGACUUUGCCACAUUUGAUUAUAUACUAUGUAUGGAUGAAAGCAAUCUGAGAUGUGGAAGCUGUUGCAGAGUAAGUGACCCAAGAGAAUGGAUGAAGAAGUUCCGGUCGUGAGGCCAGGGCCCGGCGCCCCUUUGCCACGCGGCCGGUUUACGGUUUACAGCGCUGCGAAGCAAGACCGCAGCCCUCCUGCCAGCCUCCACACUCUGCCAGCACAGAGAAGGGCCGGGACGUGCCCCCAGCAGAGCUGCAGGGAUUCUUCACCGAAACCCUGCUAAUUCACAAGGGUGCCACGCGUUUUAUGAAUAGAAACGGUUUCUGCUUUUAAUUGCCGUUGUAGGAGUGCGCAGAUACGGGGCGCGGCUCCACUUUUGUUUUUAUGAAUCAGGAACAUCACUAAAAUACAUACAUUUUCUAUUUUUGUUUUUCAGUUGUUGGCUUGUUUUGUUCUCAUUUUCCUCACUUCCACAGUAGCUGACAGGUGUUGCCAGGAGUGGGACUCCGUUUAUUAGCCCGGUCUCCAGGCUGGGUGGGCGUGCAGAGCAGGGUCUCUCUGGAGAGCAGGUGAAGCCCACACUUCGGCCUUGGUUGCUCUGGGGACACGUUCUGUUGCUCGGAGGCCUGGCCAGCCUUUCCCCCACACCAGCGCUGCGUCUGACUCAUCCUAGGUGCUCAGUGGAGGACUGGUCAGAAUGCAGCUGGGGAGCCUGCCGCUUCGCUCGCUGCCAUGUGAGCGCGGGGGCGGGGGCGGCGAGCAGGGGCUGUGUUUCCAGCUCAGGCAGAGGCUGGAGGAACGGGAGCAGGAGAAGCGGUUAGACAGGGAGGCUCGCUGCGUGAAGUGCUGCGUCAGGACACUUUGGGGUGGGAUUGGCAGCCCUUUGGGACUUGGUUCACGUGGCUUUUUGAGUUCCAUUCUGCCACCUUUGUGUAAUGUCUGAAAUAGGAGCUUUUUGAUUCGGUUGUCUCAGUGUGUGUUUCACAGGAGGGUACAUAAUUACUGUGUGAUGCGUAUUUUGUGUAAAGUAUUUGUGAGAAUAUGCUGCUGUUGGGGACCCUCUUGCCAGAGUCGGAAACCUGUGGCACGGAGGGUCACACAGGUGUGCCGAGGCUUGGGUUUCCUUUUUAAAUCAGGUCACUCUUGCUGGAUUUUGAUAUGGAUAUUUCAUAAAACCCUAGCAGAUGUCCCUGUUUAACUUGAAACCAUAGAUCAGAAAACUAAGUUCGUGUUUCAAUU